rnacentral:rRNA from 1 species
CCUACGGGGGGCAGCAGUGAGGAAUAUUGGUCAAUGGACGGAAGUCUGAACCAGCCAUGCCGCGUGCAGGAAGACGGCUCUAUGAGUUGUAAACUGCUUUUGUACAAGGGUAAACCUGAAUACGUGUAUUCAGCUGAAAGUACUGUACGAAUAAGGAUCGGCUAACUCCGUGCCAGCAGCCGCGGUAAUACGGAGGAUCCAAGCGUUAUCCGGAUUUAUUGGGUUUAAAGGGUGCGUAGGCGGUUUGAUAAGUUAGAGGGGAAAUGUCCGAGCUUAACUCGGGAACUGCCGCUAAUAAUGUUGAUCUAGAGAGUAGAUGCGGUAGGCGGAAUGUAUGGUGUAGCGGUGAAAUGCUUAGAGAUCAUACAGAACACCGAUUGCGAAGGCAGCUUACCAAUCUAUAUCUGACGUUGAGGCACGAAAGCGUGGGGAGCAAACAGGAUUAGAUACCCGGGUAGUC